CAUGCAAGUCGAACGAAGGCUUCGGCCUUAGUGGCGCACGGGUGCGUAACGCGUGGGAAUCUGCCCUUGGGUUCGGAAUAACAGUGAGAAAUUACUGCUAAUACCGGAUGAUGUCGAAAGACCAAAGAUUUAUCGCCCGAGGAUGAGCCCGCGUAGGAUUAGCUAGUUGGUGAGGUAAGAGCUCACCAAGGCGACGAUCCUUAGCUGGUCUGAGAGGAUGAUCAGCCACACUGGGACUGAGACACGGCCCAGACUCCUACGGGAGGCAGCAGUGGGGAAUAUUGGACAAUGGGCGAAAGCCUGAUCCAGCAAUGCCGCGUGAGUGAUGAAGGCCUUAGGGUUGUAAAGCUCUUUUACCCGGGAUGAUAAUGACAGUACCGGGAGAAUAAGCCCCGGCUAACUCCGUGCCAGCAGCCGCGGUAAUACGGAGGGGGCUAGCGUUAUUCGGAAUUACUGGGCGUAAAGCGCACGUAGGCGGCUUUGUAAGUCAGAGGUGAAAGCCUGGAGCUCAACUCCAGAACUGCCUUUGAGACUGCAUCGCUUGAAUCCANGGAGAGGUGAGUGGAAUUCCGAGUGUAGAGGUGAAAUUCGUAGAUAUUCGGAAGAACACCAGUGGCGAGGCGGCUCACUGGGACUGGUAUUGACGCUG
rnacentral:rRNA from 1 species